rnacentral:lncRNA from 1 species
AGAUGCUAUCUAUAUAAAAAAAGGCUGUUAUAUUUGUGACUGUUUUGAAUUAAGGAGAUCAGGUAUGAAAAUUGACACUAAGUCAAGUAAAUCAUUUGAGAAAUAAUGCAUAUAAUGUAAUUUUAUUCUUUUAUUCACAAUAUAAAUGUUGUUUUAGGCUCUGAUUCUGACCAAUGCUUAUAUAUAUACUAUAAAACAUAUAUUUACAUGUGACUUAUUGUUGUUGACUGUUGUUACCAAUUAUGUAAAUCAAUUGUAUCUGAUUUUAUGCCCUUUAUGGGCCCUUUAAUUUGGGAAAUAAAAAAAAUAUAUUCUAUUCUAUUCUAUGCAUAGGAAUGAGCUUGAAAUAAUUCCAAUGUAUGAUUUUUUUUACAGUUUGCAAAAUUCACCAUAGUCACUUAAUAAUAAAAAAUAACUUUUCGAGUAAACUUUUAAUUAAAAAUAGUACGAAAAGUAUUCGACAGUUUAGUUAA